rnacentral:tRNA from 1 species
UGGCUCAGUGGUAGAGUGCUUGCCUUGCAGCAAGAGGCCUUGGGUUCGAUUCCUCA